rnacentral:tRNA from 1 species
AUUUAAGUAGUUAAGUAAUAAUAGUGAUUUGUGGGAUCAAAGUUAUAAUUAUACACAUUAUCUUAAAUA